AUUCCAGCUGAUCCUACUGGCGGGAACCGCUAUCGAAAUCCGGCUCAAGACAUGCAAGUCGAAAGUGCCAGGAAUGGUGCUUGGCGAACGGCUCAGUAACACGUAACUAACCUACCCUUAAGAACAACCAAUCCCGGGAAACUGGGUUUAAUGUUGUGUAGAUAAGCUAUACUGGAAAUGUUUGUUUAUCAAGAGGACAGUACUAUUCCGUACAUGGUCGCUUAAGGAUGGGGUUGCGGCGCAUUAGGUCGUUGGCGGGGUAAAUGCCCACCAAGCCAGUGAUGCGUACGGGCCCUGAAAGGGGUAGCCCGGAGAAGGGAACUGAGACAAGGUCCCUAGCCCUACGGGGUGCAGCAGUCGCGGAACCUUUACACUGCACGAAAGUGUGAUAGGGGGAUUUCGAGUGCUUCCAUUGGAAGCUUUUGCCAAACCUAAAUCGUUUGGCGAAUAAAGGGGGGGUAAUAUACGUGCCAGCCGCCGCGGUAAUACGUAAUCCCUAAGUGGUUCCCACUUGUAUUGGGCCUAAAACGCCUGUAGCCUGUGAGUUAAGUCUUUGGUGAAAUCGGACAGCUCAACUGUUCGAAUGGCUAAAGAUACUGGCUUGCUUGAGGAAAUAAGACGUGAAGAGAAUUUUUGGGGUAACGGUGAAAUGUUAUGAUCCCAAAAGGACUACCAGUAGCGAAGGCGCUUCACGAGGAUUAUCCUGACGGUGAGAGACGAAAGCUGGGGGAGCGACCAGGAUUAGAUACCCUGUUAGUCCCAGCUGUAAACGAUGCUAACUAGGUGUUCCUCUUCCCACGUGGAAGCGGAGUGCCGAAGCGAAGGCGUUAAGUUAGCUGCCUGGGGAGUACGCCCGCAAGGGUGAAACUUAAUGGAAUUGGCGGGGGCUCACUACAAGGGGUGGAUGUUGCGGUUUAAUUGGAUGCAACGCCAGAAAAUCUUACCAGGGAAGACAGCAGUGUGAUGAACAGUCUGAAGGGCUUUUUUGACGCGCUGAGAGGUCCUGUAUGGCCACCGCCAGCUCGUACCGUGAGGCAUCCUGUUAACUCAGGCAACGGGCGAGACCCAUGCUCAUAGUUGCGACUCUUGCUUUUGCGAGGGGCACUCUAUGAGGACUGCUGCAGUAAUGCUGAGGAAGGUAUGGUCAACGGUAGGUCUGUAUGAGCCGAAUUUCCUGGGCAACACGCGCCACACAAUGGUGAAGACAAUGGGUCGCUUACCCGAAAGGGGUCGCUAAUCUCUUAAACUUCACCUCAGUUCGGAUUGAGGGCUGUAACCCGCCCUCAUGAAGUUGGAAUCCCCAGUAAUCGCGUGUCAUUAACGCGCGGUGAAUAAGUCCCUGAGCCUUGCACACACCGCCCAUCAAGCCAGCCGAGUAAAGUUCGGAUGAAUACACUUCUGAGUGAAAUGUCUGAUUCUUAGCUUUGCGAGGGGGGCUAAGUUGUAACAAGGUGUCCGUAGGGGAACCUGCGGACGGAUCACCUCCUA
rnacentral:rRNA from 1 species